ACGCAAGACCUUAUACCCCUCCUCAAGAGGUGUCUUAGCUAUCUUUCCUCCAAGCACAUCAGCUUCCUUUAGCAUAUCCAUUGCAUACUUCCUUUGAGACAUGAACAAACCCUCCUUUGAUCUGCAUAUCUCAAUCCCCAAGAAAUACUUCAUCUCUCCCAAGUCUUUGAUAUCAAAUACUGACCUGAGAAACUCUUUAGUGGCUUUAAUCCCAGCCUUAUCACUCCCUGUGAUAAUCAAAUCAUCCACAUACACUAGAAUCACAAUGAUCCCUGAUGGCCCGACCAGUGUGAAGAGUGUGUGAUCUAGUUCAGACUUCCUGAACCCUCUCCCAUUGAGUGUUGUACUCAGCUUCCUGUACCAGGCUCUAGGAGACUGCUUCAACCCAUAUAUAGCUUUCUUCAAUCUCAAAACAUUUCCUGGCUUUACUAGAUGCUCAAGACCAGGAGGAGGAAGCAUAUAUACCUCAUCUUCUAGCUCACCUUGCAGGAAAGCAUUCUUCACAUCCAUCUGCCACAAAUCCCACUCCAAGUUUGUUGCAAUGGAUAACACAAUUCGAAUUGUGUGAAGCUUGGCCACUGGUGCAAAAGUAUCAAUGUAAUCUUCUCCAUAAGUCUGUGUAAAUCCUCUUGCAACCAGCCUGGUCUUGUGCCUAUCUAUCUCCCCAUUUGCAAGAUAUUUAAUGGUGAAGAUCCAUCUGCUUGAAACUGCCUUCUUCCCUCUAGGUAAUUCACUCUCAUACCAAGUGUCAUUCCUGAUCAUUGCAUCCCUUUCAUCUCCUACUGAAUCUCUCCAAACCUUGUGCUUCAUAGCUUCUUCAUAAGAUCUUGGUAUCUCAUUCUCAUCCAAGUUACACAUAAACACCAUGUGCUCUUCUGGAAACUCAGCAAAGGAACACAUGGCUUGAGAGGGAUGCUCCACAGCCUGGGCAUUGUAGUACACUCUCGUGUUUACCCAGUUGGAAGGAUCCCUCCUUAUCCUUGUGCUCCUCCGCAAGGUCUCAACCUGUUCUUCAGCCUGAACAUUCUCUUGUGCUUCCUCUCUUAAACCAGUAGGUUCUCCCUGCUCAUUUCCAGCAGGUUCUCCCUGCUCAUUUCCACCUGACUGAGCUCCACUCUCUACUUCCUGUGUCUCCUCCUGAUCAUGCUGACCUGAAUCCUCUUGGUUAUGCUCCUGCUCCCCUGAUUCAGAUCCAUUCCCCCUCUCAUGAUCAAGAGGAGUUGUUCCUCCAGCUUCUCCAGCUUGAUUAGUAGGUCCUGUUCUUCCUGGUUCCUGACCUUGGGAUAAUCCUAUCCCUAGCCUCUCCAACAACACCCUCAAUGUUGUUGCCUUCUCUGAUGGAGCUCGGGACAGAUCCUCUAGGUCUUCCCAUUUCUUCUCCUCAUAAUACCCUUUAGACUCAACAAACUUCACUUCUCUAGAUACCAUAACCCUCCUAGUUAUUGGAUCAUAACAUUUGUAGCCUUUCUGAGUGAUUGAGUACCCAAUGAACAUAGCUUUAGUACUCUUUGCUUCUAGCUUGUUCCUUCUUUCUCCGGGACUCAUCACAUAACAUAAGCACCCAAAGACUCUCAAAUGAUCAAUGUGUGGCUUGGUCUUGUUCAAUACUUCAAAGGGAGACAGUUUCUUCAAGACACGGGUUGGCACUCUAUUGAUGAGAUAGCAAGCAGUCUGAACAGCAUCACUCCAAAACCUCUUAGGGACAUUCAUGUGGAACAUGAUUGAUCUCGCAACCUCCAUCAAAUGUCUGUUCUUCCUCUCAGCCACCCCAUUUUGUUGUGGUGUGUAAGGACAGCUAGUUUGUUGCACAAUCCCAUGCUUUGCAAGAUGACUCUUGAAAGCAUUGCUAGUGUAUUCUCCUCCAUUAUCAGACCUCAGAAUCUUCACAGUGGCAUUGUACUGAUUAGUAACAUAUGCUUGGAAGUUCAUGAAGGCUUCUAGGACUCUGUCUUUGGAGGGAAUCAUGGUGAUCCAUGUGUACUUUGACUUCUCAUCAAUGAAAGUCACAAAGUACUUAUGGCUGUCUCUAGACAUACAGGGAGCUGUCCACACGUCUGAAUGCACCAGAUCAAAGCAAUUCUCAUAUCUGGUUUCUGAUGUUGGGAAGACAGUCCUACAGUGCUUUCCAAGUAUACAAGCUUCACACUCCAAGUGAUUGAACGCCAUACUUGGUAGAAUCAGUUCAAUUGCCUUGGCAUGAGGAUGUCCCAGCCUUGCAUGCCAUGUGAGAUUAUCACACCUAUCCGUUGUGCUGCUUAAACACACAGACUCCACAGGACUAGGCGCCUCAGUUGUUUGGAGAUGAUAGAGCUGAUGCUUGCUGUCUCCUCUGCCAAUAACCCUUCCAGUCUUCAAAUCCUGGAACUCAACUUCAUUUGGUCUGAAAACUACUUGACAAUCCAGAUCAACUGUAGCCUUCUUAACUGAGAUUAGAUUGGAUGUAAACUGAGGUAGGUAGAAGGCAGUAGAGUUCUUCUCAAACAGCUUGAGGUUUCCCACUCCUUCUAUUGGGAUCCUGGUACCAUUGGCUAUCAUGACACUCCCUGUUGCUGCUUUAACCUCACUGAUUAGUCUCUUGUCACUGAUCAUGUGGUGUGUUGCUCCAGAGUCAAUGAUGAUGGGUUUAGAUGUGGAUGCUUUGGCAGGAGCACCCAGACUCCGGGUCGUAGCCAAAGCAUACACAUGCUUAACCAACUCAUCCCAUUCCUUCUUUGUCACACACUCAUCUGCCCUCUUGGUAUCCAUUCCUCUCAUAUCCGCACUGUCUCCUACUGUUUCUCCCAUGUAAGCUGAGUAUGAACACUCUCCUAUAACCAUCUGCUGAAGUACAUCCUUGAUUCUCUUCAAGAUUACACUCAUCCUGCCACUUAAGUGCUCAGACUCGCUAUCCUUUCUCCAUACCCUUCUCUUCAUUAACCACUCCUUAGAAAGUUUUCUCAACCUUCCCCUCUUACAGCUUGUACCUCCCUUCCAUCUUUCUGGCUUCCUGUUCAUUUCCCACACAUCACAAGUAUAUUUAACAAGCUCACAUACCUCUUCCAUAAGGAAGCUGAAGAUCACAUCUUGCUUCCUCCUUUCUUGACUACAUCUCGGAUUUGAUGUGUGUGUCUUCACCACAUCUAGCUCUGACCACACUUCUCUCAGCCUUCCCACAAGCUGAUAACACUCAUCCUUUCCUUGUCUCAAGCCGCGGAUCACCCCUCUGUCCUCAAUGACUCUCACAAGCUUGGACUUGCCUAAAGUUGCUUCAAUCUCACUCUUUGUAGUGUUUCCUUGAACAACUUCAUUUCCCAGCUUCAGACCUCUUGUCUGACCUUCUUCAGUAGCCAUUUCCAUGAAAGGUUUCCCCUUUCCAUGACUACUCCAUAACCCACAGCUUUCCAAAGCUCUUUUAGCCCACCUUGACCACUCGCCAAGCCUCUCCUCUUCAGUCUUCACAGUUGACUCAGGUCUGUGCUCCAUUUCCAUGUUGAGAUGAUUUGGAUUCACCAGAACCUCUCACGCCACCAAGAUAAUGAAACCAGAAGUUAAGAACACCAAGAACACUCAAGAACACUCAAUAAUUUUAAGUUGAGAUGAUUUGGAUUCACCAGAACCUCUCACGCCACCAAGAUAAUGAAACCCAGGAGUUUAAGAACACCAAGAACACUCAAGAACACUCAAUAACUUUAAGUGGAUUCACCAGAACCUCUCACGCCACCAAGAUAAUGAAACCAGAAGUUAAGAACACCAAGAACACUCAAGAACACUCAAUAACUUUAAGGAAAAAGGAAUCACACUCUCCCACUUUGCGCAACCUGGCUCUGAUACCAUAUACACUUUUGUGUAUUAGAGCAUGAUUCAACUAAUCCAGGAUAAUCAGAUGAAAAGAUUAAAGAGAUUAAGAGAUUUUAGUGAGAGAAUAGAGAGAGACUCAAAACUCCAUUAGUUUGAUUAAUGAGAGAGUUUACAACACAUAUAGAUUAGGGAUACAUCAAUUCGUCCAGGUUCACUCUAGCUAGGAUAGAAAGCAUGUGUAGUCAAAGAUGCUUGAUUUAAACUAGCCAAUAAGGUUCCUCACAUGCUUGGGCAUCUUGCUUUAUGAUAUGAUCAUGGACCGGCACAAGGAUGGAGAUAAAGAGUUCAAAGACCAAUCAAGGGAAGAAGAUGAUGCCUUAGUCAUUCCACCAGGUCCCAUCACUCGCGCCAAAGCUAGAAGACUCAAAGAAGCUGUUGGAAGUCUACUUAUGAUCUCAUGGAAGCAAGAAGACGGUCUUGAUGGACGUUUGAUCAAUCAAGACACUCUUAUCACCAUUCAAGCAAUGGUUUCAAACUGAUCAUCAUCUAAGCAAGUGCUUGUGUGUGCUCUUUUCCUAGCCUUUGGUUUUGUCCCAUUGGGUUUUCCAAAGGAAGGUUUUUAAUGAGGCCACAAGUUACUUACAUAAACCUUAGAUGAUGUAUCACGGUUCCACCUUAGGUUAUUUUUAAACUAUGGUUUUUAUUUCAUGUUUUAAAAACUCUUUUCGAAUUUGAAUAAGUCUUUAGUCUUUGUUGUAGUUCCAAGGGAGCCUGUUCCCUUUAAUGAUCUCGAGAAUAUGGAGCCUGUUCCAUACUUCUCUAUAUAAGUGUGUUUGCGUUCUCUCUUUUAAUCACAAUCCUUUUUUUUCUACAAAUCUAUCAGAUUUCUUUGUUCUCUCUUUACUUCUCAUCAAGUCUUGAGUGAAUCUCGUUGGUGUGUCAUAUCCAACAACUAAGGGUGUCUAUUUUGGUGUGUAAUAUCCAAGCUAGUCAUCUAGGAGUAUCAAGGAGCCAUUCCGCAACUCUUUGUGUCACCAAACGAUCCAUCACCUUGAUAAACUUGAGUCUCUGAUUCGUUUAUACAAGGAUCUAUCCAAUUCAAUCCAAAGAAGCAUCCUAGGAGUUCAUUAAGUGGUAUCAGAGCUGCUUUGGAUUGGGAAGUUUUCGAUUUCUCUUCUGUUUCAAAUAAACUUUUCAACUUCUUUGAUUACCAUUGAUAGAUCUGCGAUCUGUUGUUGUUUCUCGUAUCAUCUGAGUAGCAUAUCACCUGAUUGCUAAUCGUCUGUGUUGAAUCCUAUUAGAUCUAAGUGUUCUUAUCAUAUUUUGAAUCAAACUCAUCCGAUCCGUGUGAAGGAAGUAAUCGAAUCGCUUGAUCUGUCGAAUCACUUGCUGAAUAACUUGAUUUGUGUUGUUUCUGUGAUAGAUCUGUUCUUAUUUGUCUUGAAUCUGAUCUGCAUAAAUCCAAAAUUGAUAGAUCUAAUCUUAGUCUUGUCGAUUUGAAUUCUCUAAUCCGUGAUCUGCAAGUUUUCUAUCUUUUGAAUCUUUUGAAAGUUGUUUCCGCGUCGACUAAUUGUUCUGAUUUGAUUCUUGUGAACAUCUUACUUGUUUGAGUGUUUUCUGAAUCAGGUACCAUGGUGAGAGAGUCGGAAGAUGAAGCAGAACUCGUGAGACAGAACAAGUUAUUGAGAGAUCAGAUGACUGAGCAAUUAAACCAAACGAUGAUCACUACCGUUGCUGAUAUGAUCAAGAGCAGUAUGAAGGAACUUCGCGAUGAAAUAAGGCAAGAGAUAAGGCAAGCUACGGGCCAAGGUCAUAGCAAUGAGUCUAGACGAGAAAGACGUGAUGAAACCCCGAGAGAGCAUGCUGAAUCACAAGAAACAGACCACUACUAUGAGCGUAACCGAGCCACGCACAGCAGUUCCUCUUCUAGAGAUAGUAGAAGGAGACAUAGAAGAGAUCAUGAUGAAAGGAGAACUUACAGAGAUGAUCUUGCUGGUUUAAAGCUGAAGAUACCUCCUUUCCAUGGCAAAGUUGAUCCGGAUGCUUACUUGGAAUGGGAAAAGAAGAUGGAGUUGGUGUUUAACUGUAAGCACUACACCAAUGCCCAAAGGAUUCAGAUAGCAGCAACUGAGUUCCAUGACUAUGCGCUGAGUUGGUGGGACCAGCUUGUGACUACCAGGAGACUUAACCAAGAGUAUCCCGUUGAAACAUGGCACGAGAUGAAGGCUCUCAUGCGUAAAAGAUUUGUGCCAAAUCACUAUCAUCGCGACUUGCACCAGAAGUUAAGAAGACUCACCCAAGGAUCUCGAUCUGUUGAAGAAUACUAUCAAGACAUGGAGCUGUUGAUGCUGAGAGCUCGUGUUUCUGAAGAUAAAGAAGCUACUAUGGCUAGGUUCUUAGGAGGUCUCAACCGAGAGAUACAAGAUAAUGUUGAGAUGCAGCACUAUGUGGAGAUAGAAGAGAUGCUUCACAAAGCUAUACUAGUUGAGCAACAAGUUAAGAGGAAGGGCCAUUCUCAUUCUCGUUACAACACCAGACUUCAGGGAACUAAAGAAGAAAAGUCUAGCUAUCAAAAGGAAAGCAAACCGCAACUGAAAGAAGACUCAAAGCCAAAUUCCUUUUACAGCAAGGAUAAAGGAAAGGCCGAGGUUUCAAGUGCAAGAGCUAGAGAUGUUAAGUGCUUUAAGUGUCAGGGUAGAGGCCAUUAUGCAAAUGAGUGCACCAAUAAAAGAAUCAUGAUUCUUCUUGAGAAUGGAGAGUAUGAAUCUGAGGAUGAGCUUUCAGAGUCUGAGUGUAAGGCGCUUAUUGAAGAAGAAUAUGAAGAAGAACCCGUGAAAGGAAGGUUAUUGGUGGCUAGAAGAACUUUGAGUUUGCAAAGUAAAGCUGAAGAGCAAGAACAGAGAGAGAAUCUAUUCUACACUCGGUGCCUUGUGCAAGGAAAGGUCUGUAGUCUUAUCAUUGAUGGAGGAAGUUGUGUGAAUGUAGCUAGUGAAACUAUGGUAAAGAAGCUUGGCCUCCAAGUACAGAAACAUCCAAAGCCCUACCGGCUUCAAUGGUUGAAUGAAGAAGGAGAAAUGAGGGUUUCUAGUCAGGUUUCGGUUCCCAUUGCAAUUGGAAGGUAUGAGGAUGAGGUUCUCUGUGAUGUAUUGCCUAUGGAAGCUGGACAUAUCCUUCUUGGUCGGCCAUGGCAAUCAGAUAGACGAGUGAUACAUGAUGGCUACACCAACAAGCACACGUUUGAGUUCAAAGGAAAGAAGACUGUGCUGGUUCCUCUAACACCAAAGGAAGUUCAUCAAGAUCAACUGCAGCUACAAAAGAAGAAAGAAAUAGACCUCAAACCUGAAUCAAAGAAGCAGCAUAGUCUCUAUGCCAAAUCGGGUGAAAUCAAAAGAACUCUCAAUGCUCAUCAAUCUAUUCUUUUACUUAUCUUUAAAGAGUCUCUUUUGAAUGUUACUGACCCAACACCGGUAUAUCCGAGUGAAAUUAAGUGUCUUUUACAGGAAUUUGAAGAUGUAUUUCCUGAAGAUAAUCCAAUUGGUCUUCCACCUCUUAGAGGGAUUGAGCAUCAGAUUGAUUUUGUUCCUGGUUCUACGCUUCCAAAUAGGCCAGCUUAUAGGACUAAUCCCGUGGAGACUAAAGAACUGCAAAAACAAGUUGAGGAGUUGAUGGCAAAGGGGCAUAUCCGUGAGAGCAUGAGCCCAUGUGCAGUACCAGUGCUUCUUGUGCCUAAGAAAGAUGGAAGCUGGCGCAUGUGUGUUGAUUGUAGAGCCAUCAACAACAUCACUGUAAAGUAUCGCCAUCCUAUUCCUAGAUUAGAUGAUAUGCUUGAUGAAUUGCAUGGUUCCUGCAUAUUUUCUAAGAUUGAUUUGAAAAGUGGAUACCAUCAGAUUAGGAUGAAAGAAGGAGAUGAAUGGAAAACUGCAUUCAAAACUAAACAUGGUCUUUAUGAGUGGUUAGUCAUGCCAUUUGGAUUAACCAAUGCACCUAGUACAUUCAUGAGAUUAAUGAAUCAUGUUCUUAGAUCAUUCAUUGGCAUAUUUGUUGUGGUAUACUUUGAUGACAUCCUUGUAUACAGUAAGAGCUUUAAUGAUCAUAUAGGACAUCUUAGAGCUGUUCUUGAUGUGCUUAGAAAGGAAUCUCUUUUUGCUAACCUUAAGAAGUGUACUUUUGGAACGGAUCACUUGGUUUUUCUAGGCUUUGUUGUGAGUGCAGAUGGAGUAAAGGUAGAUCAAGAGAAGGUGAAAGCAAUACAAGAGUGGCCGAUUCCUAAAACCAUCAGUGAAGUGCGAAGCUUCCAUGGAUUAGCUGGCUUCUACCGACGGUUUGUAAAAGAUUUUAGCACCAUAGCCGCUCCAUUGACUGAGGUGAUCAAGAAAGAAGUUGGAUUCAAAUGGGGAGAAGCACAAGAACUUGCCUUUCAAUGCCUAAAAGAGAAGCUUACUAAUGCCCCUCUUCUUAUACUUCCUGAUUUCAAUAAAACUUUUGAAAUUGAAUGUGAUGCUUCAGGAAUUGGAAUUGGUGCUGUUCUUAUGCAGGAGAAGAGACCCAUAGCAUAUUUCAGUGAGAAACUAGGAGGAGCGACUCUCAACUAUGCUACUUAUGACAAGGAACUCUACGCUUUGGUGAGGGCUUUGCAUACAUGGCAGCAUUACCUAUGGCCCAAGGAGUUUGUCAUUCACACUGAUCAUGAGUCUCUCAAGUACCUUAAAAGCCAAAACAAACUCAGCAAGAGACACGCAAGGUGGGUUGAGUUCAUUGAGACAUUUCCUUAUGUCAUCAAGUAUAAACAAGGUAAGGAAAACAUAGUUGCUGAUGCACUAUCCAGAAGGUAUGUUCUCUUGAACACUCUUGAUGUUAAGCUAUUAGGAUUUGAGCAGAUUAAAGUAAUGUAUGAGAAUGAUCCUGAAUUUAAAGAUGCUUAUAAGUCUUGUGAGAAAUUUGCUGCUGGACAUUACUUUAGGCAGGAUGGAUUUCUUUUCUAUGAUAAUAGACUUUGUGUGCCUAAUUGUUCUUUGAGAGAUUUAUUUGUUAGGGAAUCUCAUGGAGGAAGCCUCAUGGGACAUUUUGGUGUCGCAAAAACUCUCAAGACCUUGCAGGAUCACUUCUACUGGCCGCGGAUGAAAAGAGAUGUGGAAAGACUCUGUGAAAGGUGUGCAACUUGUAAACAAGCUAAGUCCAAAGUCCAAAACCAUGGUUUGUACACGCCUUUACCCAUCCCUUAUCAUCCUUGGAAUGAUAUCUCUAUGGACUUCAUUGUUGGAUUGCCUAGAACUCGUACUGGUAAAGAUUCAAUCUUUGUGGUAGUUGAUAGAUUUUCUAAGAUGGCACACUUCAUUGCUUGUCAUAAAACUGAUGAUGCAUUGCAUGUAGCUAACUUGUUCUUUAAGGAGAUUGUGCGUUUACAUGGCAUGCCUAAGACUAUUGUAUCUGAUAGAGAUACUAAGUUCCUAAGCUACUUUUGGAAAACUCUCUGGUCUAAACUAGGCACUAAGCUAUUAUUUUCUACUACUUGUCACCCACAAACUGAUGGUCAGACUGAAGUAGUUAAUAGAACUCUUGGUACACUCUUGCGUGCAAUUAUAAAGAAGAACUUGAAAUCAUGGGAAGAUUGUUUGCCUCAUUGUGAAUUUGCAUAUAAUCAUGCUGUGCAUUCUGCUACUAAGUUUUCUCCAUUUGAAAUUGUUUAUGGGUUCAAUCCCAUCUCUCCUUUGGAUCUAAUACCUUUACCUGAGUGUGAAAGAGUUAGUCUUGAUGGCAAGAAGAAGGCAGAGAAGGUACAACAACUUCAUGAACAAGCAAGGCGCAACAUAGAAGAGAAGACUAAGCAAUAUGCCAAACAAGCAAACAAGGGGAGGCGUGAAAGAGUCUUUGAAGUGGGUGAUCAAGUCUGGAUUCACCUAAGGAAAGAAAGAUUUCCUAAUGAGAGGAAAUCCAAGCUCAUGCCAAGGAUUGAUGGACCAUUUGAGAUCAUAAAGAAAAUCGGCAACAAUGCUUACAAGCUGGAUCUCCAAGGAAGGUAUGAUGUGAGCAAUAGUUUUAAUAUCACUGACUUGGUUCCUUAUUUUGCAGAUGAGCCAGAUUUGAGGACAAAUCCUUUUCAAGAGGGAGGGGAGAUGAUAUGAUCAUGGACCGGCACAAGGAUGGAGAUAAAGAGUUCAAAGACCAAUCAAGGGAAGAAGAUGAUGCCUUAGUCAUUCCACCAGGUCCCAUCACUCGCGCCAAAGCUAGAAGACUCAAAGAAGCUGUUGGAAGUCUACUUAUGAUCUCAUGGAAGCAAGAAGACGGUCUUGAUGGACGUUUGAUCAAUCAAGACACUCUUAUCACCAUUCAAGCAAUGGUUUCAAACUGAUCAUCAUCUAAGCAAGUGCUUGUGUGUGCUCUUUUCCUAGCCUUUGGUUUUGUCCCAUUGGGUUUUCCAAAGGAAGGUUUUUAAUGAGGCCACAAGUUACUUACAUAAACCUUAGAUGAUGUAUCACGGUUCCACCUUAGGUUAUUUUUAAACUAUGGUUUUUAUUUCAUGUUUUAAAAACUCUUUUCGAAUUUGAAUAAGUCUUUAGUCUUUGUUGUAGUUCCAAGGGAGCCUGUUCCCUUUAAUGAUCUCGAGAAUAUGGAGCCUGUUCCAUACUUCUCUAUAUAAGUGUGUUUGCGUUCUCUCUUUUAAACACAAUCCUUUUUCUACAAAUCUAUCAGAUUUCUUUGUUCUCUCUUUACUUCUCAUCAAGUCUUGAGUGAAUCUCGUUGGUGUGUCAUAUCCAACAACUAAGGGUGUCUAUUUUGGUGUGUAAUAUCCAAGCUAGUCAUCUAGGAGUAUCAAGGAGCCAUUCCGCAACUCUUUGUGUCACCAAACGAUCCAUCACCUUGAUAAACUUGAGUCUCUGAUUCGUUUAUACAAGGAUCUAUCCAAUUCAAUCCAAAGAAGCAUCCUAGGAGUUCAUUACAAUGUGAAUAGCAGCCUGAUUGUCACAAUGCAUUGUCAUAGGAGUGGUCUGCUCAAUACUCAAAUGCUUCAAUAUCCCUUUGAUCCACACUAGCUCAUUAGUCAGCUUCAACAUGGCUCUAUAUUCAGCCUCAGCACUAGAACAGGAGACAACCUUCUGCUUCUUACUCUUCCAUGUAACCAAGUUCCCUCCAAUGAAGGUACAAUACCCAGUAGUUGAUCUCCUAUCAACUCUAUCUCCGGCCCAGUCAGCAUCACAAUAACCAACCACUUCUGUACUCCUAUUGCAUCCCAUCCAGACUCCUUGGCCGCUAGAGCCAUUCAAAUACCUCAAGAUUCUGUCCACCAUGUUCCAAUGGUGCAUCUUUGGAGCUUGCAUAUGCUGACUAACUUGAUUCACAGCAAAACAUAUGUCUGGUCUGGUGAUUGUCAAGUAGAUCAGCUUCCCAACCAUCUUCCUAUACAGCUUAGCAUCUUCAAAUGGCUGAUUGUUUUCAAUCUCCCCCUCAAGCAAAACCUUAUACCCAUCCUCAAGAGGUGUCUUAGCUGUCUUUCCUCCAAGCCUACCAGCGCCCUUCAACAGAUCCUGAGUGUACUUCCUUUGAGACAUGAACAAGCCCUCCUUUGAUCUGCAUAUCUCAAUACCCAGAAAAUACUUCAUCUCUCCCAAAUCCUUGAUGUCAAACACUGAUUUGAGAAACUCCUUAGUAGCCUGAAUCCCUGCCUUAUCACUUCCUGUGAUAAUCAAAUCAUCCACAUACACUAGAAUCACAAUGAUCCCUGAAGGUCCUGUCAAGGUGAAGAGAGUGUGAUCCAGUUCAGACUUCCUAAAGCCUCUCCCAUUGAGUGUGGUACUCAACUUCCUGUACCAAGCUCUAGGUGACUGUUUUAGCCCAUAUAUUGCCUUCUUCAAUCUUAAAACAUUCCCUGGCUUUACUAGAUGCUCAAGACCAGGAGGUGGAUGCAUGUACACUUCAUCUUCUAGUUCACCUUGCAGGAAAGCAUUCUUCACAUCCAUUUGCCACAGAUCCCACUCCAAGUUUGUUGCAAUGGAUAACACAAUUCGAAUUGUGUGAAGCUUAGCCACUGGUGCAAAAGUAUCAAUGUAGUCUUCCCCAUAAGUCUGUGUAAACCCUCUUGCUACCAGCCUGGUUUUGCGUCUCUCAAUAGUUCCA
rnacentral:lncRNA from 1 species